UACGUAGGGCGCAAGCGUUAUCCGGAAUUAUUGGGCGUAAAGAGCUCGUAGGCGGUUUGUCGCGUCUGCCGUGAAAGUCCGGGGCUCAACUCCGGAUCUGCGGUGGGUACGGGCAGACUAGAGUGAUGUAGGGGAGACUGGAAUUCCUGGUGUAGCGGUGAAAUGCGCAGAUAUCUGGAGGAACACCGGUGGCGAAGGCGGCAUCCUGGACCGGCAUUGACGCUGAGGAGCGAAAGCCAGGGGAGCAAACGGG
rnacentral:rRNA from 1 species